UUAAUUUGAGAGUUUGAUCCUGGCUCAGGACGAACGCUGGCGGCGUGCCUAAUACAUGCAAGUCGAACGAACUCUGGUAUUGAUUGGUGCUUGCAUCAUGAUUUACAUUUGAGUGAGUGGCGAACUGGUGAGUAACACGUGGGAAACCUGCCCAGAAGCGGGGGAUAACACCUGGAAACAGAUGCUAAUACCGCAUAACAACUUGGACCGCAUGGUCCGAGCUUGAAAGAUGGCUUCGGCUAUCACUUUUGGAUGGUCCCGCGGCGUAUUAGCUAGAUGGUGGGGUAAUGGCUCACCAUGGCAAUGAUACGUAGCCGACCUGAGAGGGUAAUCGGCCACAUUGGGACUGAGACACGGCCCAAACUCCUACGGGAGGCAGCAGUAGGGAAUCUUCCACAAUGGACGAAAGUCUGAUGGAGCAACGCCGCGUGAGUGAAGAAGGGUUUCGGCUCGUAAAACUCUGUUGUUAAAGAAGAACAUAUCUGAGAGUAACUGUUCAGGUAUUGACGGUAUUUAACCAGAAAGCCACGGCUAACUACGUGCCAGCAGCCGCGGUAAUACGUAGGUGGCAAGCGUUGUCCGGAUUUAUUGGGCGUAAAGCGAGCGCAGGCGGUUUUUUAAGUCUGAUGUGAAAGCCUUCGGCUCAACCGAAGAAGUGCAUCGGAAACUGGGAAACUUGAGUGCAGAAGAGGACAGUGGAACUCCAUGUGUAGCGGUGAAAUGCGUAGAUAUAUGGAAGAACACCAGUGGCGAAGGCGGCUGUCUGGUCUGUAACUGACGCUGAGGCUCGAAAGUAUGGGUAGCAAACAGGAUUAGAUACCCUGGUAGUCCAUACCGUAAACGAUGAAUGCUAAGUGUUGGAGGGUUUCCGCCCUUCAGUGCUGCAGCUAACGCAUUAAGCAUUCCGCCUGGGGAGUACGGCCGCAAGGCUGAAACUCAAAGGAAUUGACGGGGGCCCGCACAAGCGGUGGAGCAUGUGGUUUAAUUCGAAGCUACGCGAAGAACCUUACCAGGUCUUGACAUACUAUGCAAAUCUAAGAGAUUAGACGUUCCCUUCGGGGACAUGGAUACAGGUGGUGCAUGGUUGUCGUCAGCUCGUGUCGUGAGAUGUUGGGUUAAGUCCCGCAACGAGCGCAACCCUUAUUAUCAGUUGCCAGCAUUAAGUUGGGCACUCUGGUGAGACUGCCGGUGACAAACCGGAGGAAGGUGGGGAUGACGUCAAAUCAUCAUGCCCCUUAUGACCUGGGCUACACACGUGCUACAAUGGAUGGUACAACGAGUUGCGAACUCGCGAGAGUAAGCUAAUCUCUUAAAGCCAUUCUCAGUUCGGAUUGUAGGCUGCAACUCGCCUACAUGAAGUCGGAAUCGCUAGUAAUCGCGGAUCAGCAUGCCGCGGUGAAUACGUUCCCGGGCCUUGUACACACCGCCCGUCACACCAUGAGAGUUUGUAACACCCAAAGUCGGUGGGGUAACCUUUUAGGAACCAGCCGCCUAAGGUGGGACAGAUGAUUAGGGUGAAGUCGUAACAAGGUAGCCGUAGGAGAACCUGCGGCUGGAUCACCUCCUUUCUAAGG
rnacentral:rRNA from 2 species